GCGAACUGUGGUAUAACUGUAGAAAAUCUAGAGCUAAUACAUGCACGAGUAAUGCGUCGAUCCCCGGAGAGGCGCGCGUUUAUUAGACCAAGACCGGCGCCGGGGCCUCGUGUUCCGGCCCAGCCGUGUUGACUCUGGAUAACAAUGCCGAUCGCCCGGCCCUAGCUGCCGGCGACGUAUCUUUCAAAUGUCUGACCUAUCAGCUGGUUGGCCGUAGAGGUGACGGCCACGGGAUUGACGGGUAACGGGGAAUCAGGGUUUGAUUCCGGAGAGGGAGCCUGAGAAACGGCUACCACUUCUAAGGAAGGCAGCAGGCGCGCAAAUUACCCACUCUCGACUCGAGGAGGUAGUGAAGAGAAAUAACGUGACGCUAACCCCAAGAGGCUGCGUUGGGGAAUGAGACCCGUUUAAAGCCCUGAAACUUAAAGGUAUUGACGGAAGGGCACCACAAGGAGUGGAGCUUGCGGCUUAAUUUGACUCAACGCGGGGCAACUCACCCGGUCCGGACACCGCGGGGAUUGACAGAUUGAUAGCUCUUUCUUGAUUCGGUGGAUGGUGGUGCAUGGCCGUUCUUAGUACGUGGUGCAAACUGUCAGGUUAAAUCCGCUAACGUACGCGACUCUAGCCUAUUUACUAGAGCUGGACGAUGAUAAUAAGUCGCCGAUGCGAGGAACUUCUUAGGGGGAUCCAUUGCGUGGGAGAAGCGGAUGAAAAAGAGCAAUAACAGGUCUGUGAUGCCCUUAGAUGUUCGGGGCCGCACGCGCGCUACACUGAAAAGGAAAGAGGGUGUCCGAGUACGAGCCGGGCGCGCGAGUUGCCCUAGAGAAAUCUUAGAAACCUUAUCGUGCUAGGGAUUAGGGUUUGAAACUGUUGCCUAUAAACGAGGAAUUCCAAGUAAGUGCGAGUCACUAGCUUGCGUUGAUCAAGUCCCUGCCCUUUGUACACACCGCCCGUCGCUACCACUGAGCUAGCGGCUUAGCAAGGGCGUCGAGACGCGUCCUGGGGGCUAUAGGCGUGGUAACGGCGGCCUCGGCUGUCCGUCCACUUAGCCGGCCUCAUGUGGGCGUGAAAGGCGUUCAAACUCG
rnacentral:rRNA from 1 species